AACCUGGUUGAUCCUGCCAGUAGCGUAUGCUUCUCCCAAAGAUUAAGCCAUGCAUGUCCCCGACUAAGAGGUGACAAUCUCUCUGAAUCUUGCGAACGGCUCCGCAAAUGGUUGUAAUUCAAGGCACGCCGAAAAAACAGGGGAAUCCCUCCGUCCGCGGGGGGACCUCCUGGUACUUAUUUCUAGUUGGAUAUCCCGGGUAAUUCUAGGGCUAAUACAUGGCAAAAACCCGCAGGAUGCGGCCAGUAGGGGGGGGGCUGGGCUUCGGCUCACGCUUUUUUCCGAAAGCCCGUCCUGUUGGGCGUGAAGGAUCAUCUGAAAAAUAAAAGCUCGGGAAUUAAAACGUAAACGAUCGCGAAAGACUGCACGCCUAUACCCGCACACUCCUUUCGGGGGGUAACCGUAUUCGGCAACCCAUGUGAUUCUCAGGUCGGAUUAAAAUACCGGCUGUAACCUUUUUUUCUGUUUUUGUACGGCACAAAGCGCGCUUCGGCGUCGCCUCCCGCACGGACGAAAUAAAGGCCAGCUCGGGAAAGUUUUCCGUGUGACCUGGGUUCAUUGACGGCCUUGUACGGGCGGGCGCGUGUCUUGGCUUCCAACCUAUCAACUAGAAUGCGGUAUAAUGGGCUGCAGUGGUAACAACGGGUACAGAGGAUUAGGGUUCGGUUCUGGAGAGUGGGCCUGAGAGAUUGCUCCUACUUCUAAGGAAGGCAGCAGGCGCGCAAAGUUCCCAAUGGGCUUCGAGCUCGAGGGCGUUAGGGGAAAUAUGAAUGCUCGUCAUAAAGUCUCUCAAUCUAAACGU
rnacentral:rRNA from 1 species